AGCGAACGCUGGCGGCAGGCCUAACACAUGCAAGUCGAACGAAGUCUUCGGACUUAGUGGCGGACGGGUGAGUAACACGUGGGAACGUACCUUUUGGUUCGGAACAACUCAGGGAAACUUGAGCUAAUACCGGAUGAGCCCUUAGGGGGAAAGAUUUAUCGCCGAAAGAGCGGCCCGCGUUAGAUUAGCUAGUUGGUGAGGUAAAGGCUCACCAAGGCUACGAUCUAUAGCUGGUCUGAGAGGAUGAUCAGCCACACUGGGACUGAGACACGGCCCAGACUCCUACGGGAGGCAGCAGUGGGGAAUCUUGCGCAAUGGGCGAAAGCCUGACGCAGCCAUGCCGCGUGAAUGAUGAAGGUCUUAGGAUUGUAAAAUUCUUUUACCAGGGACGAUAAUGACGGUACCGUAAGAAUAAGCACCGGCUAACUACGUGCCAGCCGCCGCCGUAAUAC
rnacentral:rRNA from 1 species